GUUAACUUUCUUGUACAAAAUUAUUUGUUUGCAUUUUCUUUGUAACUUAUCUGUAAAAGAUUUCCCCCUACUGUCAAAAAAAUAUGCCUGUAUAGUAAUUAGGACUUCAUUCCUCCAAGUUUUCUUCCCUUAUCUUGCUAUCAUUGUCUUGAUACCUUAUUUUAGAAAACUGACCAAGUAACAUGGUACAUGUGGCUUACUCUGGGUAUAUCUAAGCCCUUCUGCACACCCAAACUUUAGAUGGAGUUGGUCAAAUGAGGGAACAUCUGGUUUCCCUCUGGGUUAUGCCUUUUUUUUUUUUUUUAAGAAAGAGAGAGAAAAAGAGAGAGAAUUUUUUAAUAUUUAUUUUUAGGUUUUGGUGGACACAACAUCUUUAUUUUAUUUUUAUGUGGUGCUGAGGAUCGAACCCAGUGCCUGGCGCAUGCCAGGUGAGCACACUACCACUUGAGCCACAUCCCCAGCCCCAAGGGUUAUGCCUUUUAUUAAAGUAGUUUUCUUUAGAAAUUGUCAGCAUGUUGUUGUUGAAGUGUGGAGUUGUAACUCUGCGUGGACUGGGGACAGUCAACAACAUACACUUAAGAGUUGCACUAUUGCAAAAUGGGUGGAUUAUCCAGGUACUUGUACACUAUUUUUUUGUACUGCUGGUCUUGUACAGGAAACAUUUUCUUUUAUUGUUACGUGCUUUUUGAAUUUUGUCUAGC
rnacentral:lncRNA from 1 species